rnacentral:rRNA from 1 species
GGAUCAAUUUAUUGGUCGUGCUAUUGUACGUACUGGUAUUAUUGAUUCCUACCUUCUGACGAACCAUGAUGUCAUUAAUUUGGUGUCAUGGGGAAUCAGGACUGUUACUUUGAAAAAAUUAGAGUGUUCAAAGCAGGCUAACGCCGUGAAUACAUUAGCAUGGAAUAAUAAAAUAGGACU